AGGAGAAAAAUGCAAACUUUGUGAGAUAAGAUUGGAAUCUGAGACGAUGCAAGUAUGAAGAUUUCUCCAUCUUGAAUUUGCCUGGGCUUGAAGAAUCUUCAGGUUUCUUGGAGGGGGAUUAAAUUAAAUGGAAGGUUUCUUUAUUAUGACUCCAAAAUGAGAAACACGAAUAUUAUCUUUUUUAUUAUA